rnacentral:lncRNA from 1 species
CAGGGCGGGGCCUCCGGAAGCUCCGCCCCACGCUUUCCCGGGGCGCAUGCGACGUGGGGCGGAGCGUCUGGAAGCUCCGCCCGUCGCACUGUAGAGUCGGCCGAGGCGCACGAGGUAUUUUUCACGCUCCGCCCCUCUGCAGGCUAAAGUGCGUGGGCGGGAAGCGGUGGGCAGGGUGCCAUCUGGCUCCGCCCUUCUCCUGUGGUGUGGGCCAGGCGGCGGCUUCCUCCUCCUGCAGCAGCCACAGGCUCCACUCUGAUCCUUCUCCCGCGGCAUGGAUCCUUCUCCCGCGGCGUGGAUCCUUCUCCCGCAAUCUCCGUGCGCGUCCCCAGUCAGUACCCGCAGCCUCCCGACGCACCCGCUGGCUCCAAGCCUCCCUACCCCAGGUUUCCUGGCUAAGAGAGAGACAGAGGGAGAGAGGGGGAAGAGAGAGAACAGGCAAUGGGAGGUUGAUGGUGAGAGCUUAUUGAAAGACAAGAGGGAGGAAACCCACAUCCUUCAUUCCCCAUCCAUUCAUUUAUUGCCUUAUUUAUUCCAUUGAAUCUUCACAGCUCUAGAAAAAGUGUGCUACAAUUAUUCCCUUUAUUAAAUGAGGUCACUGAGGCACAGUUUAAGAAAUUUGCCAGCAGGGCACAGUGGGUCACUCCGGUAAUCCCAGAACUUUGAGAGGGGGAGGAAGGUGGAUCCCUUGAGCCCAGGAGUUGGAGACCAGCCUGGCCAACAUGGCGAGACCCCGUUUCUACAAAAAUUAGCCAAAAUUAGCCAAACUGGCUCACACUUGUAGUCCCAGGUACUCGAGAGGCUGAGGCCGGAGGAGCGUGUGAGCCCAGGAGGCAGUGGCUGCGCUGAGCCGUGAUUGUGCCACUGCACUCCAGCCUGGGCAACAGAGUAAGACCCUGUCUCGAAAAAAAAAAAAUGGAAAAAAGAAAAAAAGAACUGGCUGGGAGUGGUGGCUCAUGCCUGUAAUCCCAGCACUUUGGGAGGCCGAGGUGGGUGGAUCACCUGAGGUCAGGAGUUUGAGACCAACCUGACCAACAAGGUGAAAUCCCAUUUCUACUAAAAAUACAAAAAUUAGCCAGGCGUGGUGGCAGGUGCCUGUAGUCCCAGCUACUAGGGAGGCUGAGACAGGAGAAUAGCUUGAACCUGGGAGGCAGAGGUUGCAGUGAGCCGAGAUUGCACCACUGCACUCCAGACUGGGCAAUACAGUGAGACUCCGUCUCAAAAAAACAAAAAAAAUCCUACCACAUGUGCUCCACCAAGCUCUGUCUCCAAGGUGGCCUUGGAAGCCACAUGGGGAAGGUGGCAGAGACUCUAGGAGCCUGAGCAGAAACCCAGAUGAUUAUGAAAAAUGCAGACCUACCCAUCCUUAUUCACCUGGGACCACCGUGAACUAUAUCAUAAGAAAUAAACCCCUAUUGUACAUACAUGCACCAUUCGAGUUGGGUCUAUUUGUUACAGCAGUUUAGCCAACCCUAAUCCACAUAUACAGUGU